CCCAGAACACUGGUGUGCUGGCCUGCAGAUGUGAGCAAGCUUUAAAAAGGAGAGUGACUCAUGAAACAUCGCUUCGAGGGAGAAGACCCACAUACGACCAGUACGAGCACUUUAAACUAAGCAUCUAAGACAGCAGAAGAAAAAAUCAGAAGGAAACAAUGGAGAAGUAUAAAGAGAGACCACACACCUAACUCCUUCGACAGCUCUGGUACCAUCCCAGAGGUCACUGGAUGUGAUUUUACUUCUGCAAUAUCCCACGUUCCUGCAUUCUAAAGAAGGAAACCAACAGUAACCCAAAGUGUGAUGUCAUGUUGAGAGCUGGCAACUGCAGUUUCAGCCUGACACUCCCAAUCCUUUUACAGCCUUUCCAUGUUCUCAUCAUCCCAAGCCUGCAGCUACUUUUAUUGCUGGAGAAGAAUCAAGCAAAGGAGAAAUGAUCUCCUAGGGACAGAAUCCAGCCAAGUUGCUAUUUGCACCUUCUCAGCCCUUCCAAUUGCAUAUCAUACCAGCACAGCAUUUCUCUGGACUUAAUUCCUCACUCAUCUGGACUGAUUUGCCUUUCGUGAGCAACAGAAUGUUGUCAUACAUCAGGAUGCUGUCAUACAUCAGGUUGGAGUUUGGCCUUCUGAAGGCAGGAGAGUGAAAAAUGGUACUAAUGUCCUUCCCACACCAACCCUGUAUUCUGCAAAGGAAAGGACUCCAGCAAAGAAAGCAACUAACGUAACGGCAACCUAAGACCACGUUCUGAAUCAUCAGAGUCCUGGACUACUGCUACUGAAGGGCUCAUCAAAGCUGUGAGUGUGUCAACAUCACUCCACCUACUUGGAGGUGCUCUGGAAUAACUGAUUCACAGGCAUUUUGCUUGCUUGGCACUCAGCCUUGUGCAGCCAGUGCUGUCUUGAGCCUUUUCAAGUAAUUCAGGCAAAAAAUGGAGUUUGCUGACAAAAGGGGGUUUGCCUAGAGCAUCUCUACUAGGAAGACAUCCAAUCUUGAUCUGAAAACAUCAAGAGACAGAGAAUCCAACGCUUCUUUUGAGAUUUUAUGCUCAUUAAAAUCUGAGAACUAUGGCAAGGAUUUCAGCUUGAUAGGCAGAAAGUAUCUCAUUCGUCCCAAAGGAGUGGGGGGGGGACACCCCGCAGCUCUCAGGAAGAGGGACGGCUUACCUGGACGUGGGCUCUUGGUGAGGGCUCAGCACAACGUGAGGAUGCCCGUGGGAACCUGUACCUCUGCAGUAUGCAUUUUGCCGUGGUUUAUUUGUGCUGUCCCCGUAACACACCCAUUGCUGUGGGAUGUGGAUGCCUUUCGGUGAUGUACUAAACUAAUAAACUACCUGUCAUGCGUGUUUCUGACUCAGUUUUGCAGUCGAAAAGGAAAAGUCAUCCCUCCCUGAUGGCACAUUGCCGUGUGGCCACUCUACACUCACUAUAAGUUUAAAACAAC
ensembl:lncRNA